GCUAAAUGUAAUCUAUCAGGGUUAUUCACUUAUGUGGAGUUUUGCAGGAAUUACAGUUUAAGUCCACAGGAGUUGGUUGAAGUGGGAAAUUCUCUCUCCAAGUGAGGUGAUAUUUUUCAGAUAGUCUGGCAUAAUCUCUGAAAUUCGCUUUAAAUUCCUCACAAUUCACUUUAAUGAAUAGCCCUCCGUAAGUAUACUGCGUCAAACGUGGCAUCACAGAUUGGCACAGUUACCCC